GCCUGGGUGGCUCAGUUGGUUGAGCGUCCGACUUCAGCUCAGGUCACCAUCUCGCAGCCCGCGAGUUCGAGCCCCGCGUCGGGCU
rfam:Felis catus isolate Cinnamon breed Abyssinian chromosome F1, whole genome shotgun sequence.